rnacentral:rRNA from 1 species
AAUAUUGGACAAUGGGGGCAACCCUGAUCCAGCCAUGCCGCGUGUGUGAAGAAGGUCUUCGGAUUGUAAAGCUCUUUAAGUUGGGAGGAAGGGCUGUAGGUUAAUACCCUGAAGUUUUGACGUUACCAACAGAAUAAGCACCGUCUAACUCUGUUCCCGCACCCGCAGUAAUACAGAGGGUGCAAGCGUUAAUCGGAAUUACUGUGCGUAAAGCGCGCGUAGGUGGUUCAGUAAGAUGGGUGUGAAAUCCCCGGGCUUAACCUGGGAACUGCUUUCAUAACCGCAGAGCUAGAGUACGGUAGAGGGUAGUGGAAUUUCCUGUGUAGCGGUGAAAUGCGUAGAUAUAGGAAGGAACACCAGUGGCGAAGGCGACUACCUGGACUGAUACUGACACUGAGGUGCGAAAGCGUGGGGAGCAAAC